CUACGUAGGGUGCAAGCGUUAAUCGGAAUUACUGGGCGUAAAGCGUGCGCAGGAGGUUUUUUAAGUCAGUGGGGAAAACCCCGGGCUCCACCUGGGACCAGCCCUUUGGACUGCAAGGCUGGGGGGAGGCAAAGGGGGAUGGAAAUCCGCGGGGAGCAGGGAAAUGCGUAGAUAUGCGGAGGAACACCGAUGGCGAAGGCAAUCCCCUGGGCCUGCACUGACGCUCAUGCACGAAAGCGUGGGGAGCAAACAGGAUUAGAUACCCUGGUAGUCCACGCCCUAAACGAUGUCAACUGGUUGUUGGGGAUUUAUUUUCUCAGUAACGAAGCUAACGCGUGAAGUUGACCGCCUGGGGAGUACGGCCGCAAGGUUAAAACUCAAAGGAAUUGACGGGG
rnacentral:rRNA from 1 species